rnacentral:tRNA from 1 species
CAAAGCGUAGCUUAAUAAAAGCAUUUGGCUUACACCCAAAAGAUUUCACUCAGUGUGACCACUUUGA